UUUUUUUGUUUUUUUGGUUUUUUUUAGGACAUCAUAAAGAAUUGGGUAAGAAAAUUUAUUCUGAGAUUUGGAAAAUCAAGCCCUAUCACAGUUUAAACAUAAUAGUCACAAUCUAAAUAUAUUUUAAAAUUCAUAUAUUCCAGUUUAGGGCUUUGUUUUCAAUCUUUUUUUUCUUAAUUUUUGAUUUAAAACAACCUGCAUAAAGUUAAUGGAACUCCUUAUUCUGUGCCUUAAAUAAGAUGGGAGUUCACUGAGAAAAGAAAUGAAAGUUCUUAGCCGGCAGCUCCGUUGAAUACCAUGGAAGUCGCAUGGAUUCCAACACGCAAGGUCCUUCCCUUGGCUUUCAGGUGUAUUUCUCCUCUGAGGAUACAUUAGAACAAAAGUCAUAGGAAAGGAAAAUUAAAUUUUUCUGCAGAUUGAGCUAAGCCAAAAAGAUGUGUGACAUGCUCUUGUACAUUUUUCCCUUCUCUAAAGUAACUUGUAAAGAACAACAUUUCGUCAGAUCGCCUAUAUAUAUAUUACAGCAUUCCAUGAUGUUGUCUUGUCCUUCUUUAUAAGUUUAUAGGAAUUCUUGAAAGUGGAAUGCAUGAUGUCCAUCAGUGACUUCAGGGUUCGUGGAGCAAACGCUAUGGUAGCACCGGGAAGAACAGUGGGCGAGAGGUGGCCUCAACGUUCGGGAACGUUGCUUCUGACCUCACUUCGUCCGGUAGCACAUCUGGUGUGUCACAGCGGAGUCCAGCAAAGCUAACCCACAACAGAGGGAAAACUACACACAAUUGCUUGGAAUAAAUUGGAAAUGUAAGAACAAACAAAAAAACUGCAGUUCCUUCUCUGUAUAAUAGUGUAAGCCAACGAGGGAUUGUAAACUCAGGGAACCACUCCCAGUGCACACACAUUCAGACGCACACAGGCUCACAUACACACUCAAACACACACACAUUCAAGCACACACACUCAAACACACAGGCUCAGACACACACACUUAAACACACACACACUCUCACAUGCUCAAACACACACAAACACAGGCUCAGACACAUACCUGCUCAAACACACACACUCAAACACACACCUGCUCAAACACACAGGCUCAGACACACACACACACCUGCUCAAACACACACACACACGCAAACACGCACACUUAAACACACACACACUCACACAUGCUCAAACACACACAAACAUAGGCUCAGACACACACCUGCUCAAACACACACACAAACACACACACUGAAACACAAUCUGCUCAAACACACACACACUCAAACACACAGGCUCAAACUCACACAUGAUCAAGCCCACAGGUUCAAACACACACCUACUCAAACAUACAUGCAUGCAAACAUACAGGCUCAAACGCACACGCUCAAACACACACAGUAAAACACACAGACACACACACAUACACACUCAAACACACAGUAAAAUACACACACAUACUCAAACACACACAUAAAACACAUAGGCUCACACACAAACUCAAACACAC
rnacentral:lncRNA from 1 species